AUGUCUCUUUGGUAUGAGCUUUUGGAAAUUGCCAGUUCUAUUCAUCUCUCUGUAGAGGAUGACUCCCCUGUCUGGAAUAUGAAUUCUAAAGGGAUAUACUCUGUUAAAUCCUUUUAUAAGUUCUUAAAUUUCAGAGGUGUGUUGCCCAGUAGUUCUCCUGCCAUUUGGAAGAUCAAAAUUCCUCCUAGGAUUCAGAUUUUUCUCUGGCUAUUAACUAACAACAAGUUGUUGACCAGAGAUAAUUUGUCUAAAAGGCAGGAGGUAGGCGAUUCCACCUGUGUUUUUUGCGUUCAACAGGAAACUUGUUCUCAUUUAUUUAGCACCUGUGUCGUUGCUACUGAAUUCUGGAAAGCCUUAUGUAUCCUAACUGGGAUUGAUGAAGACAUCAGUAUAAUGUCCAUCUCCCAGUACUGGAUCAGAGGAGAUACCUUUGUUGUAACAAAUAUUGUCCAUGCAGCUGGGCUUUGGGCUAUCUGGAAAAUUCGCAAUGACAUGGUUUUUAACAAUGUUGUUUGGUCUGGAUUACAGGCUAUCUGGCGAAAAACUGUGUCAAAUUGUCUACAUGGGAGUGCCUGUCCUCAGGGUGUGCCAAGGACAGGGUGGUGUGGGCUGCGAAAGAACUGGAGAUGA
rnacentral:rRNA from 1 species